rnacentral:rRNA from 1 species
GUUGAUCCUGCCAGUAUUAUAUGCUUGUCUCAAAGAUUAAGCCAUGCAUGUCUAAGUAUAAGCAAUUUAUACAGUGAAACUGCGAAUGGCUCAUUAAAUCAGUUAUCGUUUAUUUGAUAGUUCCUUUACUACAUGGUAUAACUGUGGUAAUUCUAGAGCUAAUACAUGCUUAAAAUCUCGACCCUUUGGAAGAGAUGUAUUUAUUAGAUAAAAAAUCAAUGUCUUCGGACUCUUUGAUGAUUCAUAAUAACUUUUCGAAUCGCAUGGCCUUGUGCUGGCGAUGGUUCAUUCAAAUUUCUGCCCUAUCAACUUUCGAUGGUAGGAUAGUGGCCUACCAUGGUUUCAACGGGUAACGGGGAAUAAGGGUUCGAUUCCGGAGAGGGAGCCUGAGAAACGGCUACCACAUCCAAGGAAGGCAGCAGGCGCGCAAAUUACCCAAUCCUAAUUCAGGGAGGUAGUGACAAUAAAUAACGAUACAGGGCCCAUUCGGGUCUUGUAAUUGGAAUGAGUACAAUGUAAAUACCUUAACGAGGAACAAUUGGAGGGCAAGUCUGGUGCCAGCAGCCGCGGUAAUUCCAGCUCCAAUAGUG